rnacentral:rRNA from 1 species
AGUGAACGCUGGCGGUAGGCCUAACACAUGCAAGUCGAACGGCAGCACAGUAAGAGCUUGCUCUUACGGGUGGCGAGUGGCGGACGGGUGAGGAAUACAUCGGAAUCUACUUUUUCGUGGGGGAUAACGUAGGGAAACUUACGCGAAUACCGCAUACGCCCUACGGGUGAAAGCAGGGGAUCUUCGGACCUUGCGCGAUUGAAUGAGCCGAUGUCGGAUUAGCUAGUUGGCGGGGUAAAGGCCCACCAAGGCGACGAUCCGUAGCUGGUCUGAGAGGAUGAUCAGCCACACUGGAACUGAGACACGGUCCAGACUCCUACGGGAGGCAGCAGUGGGGAAUAUUGGACAAUGGGCGCAAGCCUGAUCCAGCCAUACCGCGUGGGUGAAGAAGGCCUUCGGGUUGUAAAGCCCUUUUGUUGGGAAAGAAAAGCAGCAGGUUAAUACCCCGCUGUUCUGACGGUACCCAAAGAAUAAGCACCGGCUAACUUCGUG